AAGUCCCUUUUUUGUGUCUUAUGAUGAAAUUUCAUAGGGCAGAUUCUGAGCGGAGAAAUGAAAUUUCUCUCCACUGAUACUCCAUAUGACAUCUGAAGACACUAUAUAUUGU
rnacentral:snoRNA from 1 species